ACAACCUGACAUUUGAUUUGCUUUAUAACCUUCCCAAAUGCUAAGCUCUGUCCCGUGAACUGUUUCACAAACCUAAGAGAAAAAAAUCAAAACUUUGCCUC